rnacentral:rRNA from 1 species
AUGCGGCUCCAUAAUUCACGUAGUAGAUCUCCAGUGGACGGCGGGGACGGCAACGUCGUGAAUCUCGAACGAGCGCGCACAGGUAUCGCAUCCCGCGUCCCCCCUCUAGUCUCGCUCGCGGCAACAUCGAACAAACUGCCGCCAUCAGUGGUAGUGGUUAACCUAGCGGGGCGGGAAAUGGUAGACGAGGAGUUAACUGAUAUCAUGAUGGAUGAGCUUGAUGAUGGCCAAGAAAACAACUCGGAGCUCUCGGAUGAAGAUUACAUUAGUCAGCUCAUUUCCGAAUGUCAUAAUGCGUAUGACUAUUACGGUGAAUCCGACGCGGAGACAUGCCUUAACGACGAAUCAUUAGAUGCACCUGAUUCUGGGAAGUCGCAGUCGUCGGUCAUCAUGAGUGAGAUGACACAAGAUGAUGGGGCACAAAAUGUCCAAGAUACUGCCAGUGUAGAUGAUAAGAGGGAUAUGUUCAUGCAGAUAAUGGAAAUGACUUUUAUGUCUCGCGAUGCUGUGUAUGAUUUCUACAACAACUAUGCUAGAGAUAAUGGUUUCAGCAUUAGAAAGAAUAAGGUCAGGUAUAGCAAAACCGAGUCACAUCAUAUGCAUUAUAUGCGGUUUGUUUGUUCCAAACAAGGGAAACAUGACAACAAGUUGCUAACCGAGGAAGGACACACCCGUAGGCUCAGAGCGGAGACACGAUGCUUUUGCAAAGCACAGCUGACCGUCAAGCUUGACCAAAAGCGUGGGGUUUGGUAUGUUGAAAGUUAUGAGGACAAACAUAGCCAUAUGUUGGCAGGACCGGAUGAGGUACCUUUUCUUUGGUCCCACAGAAAAAUCAAAGAGUACCAGAAGGAUGAGAUAAUGUCCAUGGGAGCUGCAGGGAUUAGAAUUCACGACAUGAUGGAUUCCUUCAUCAGCAAACAUCUCAUACCUUUUGUUGGUCUUAACAAUCACCGGAAGACCAUUGUUUUUGGUUGUGCCAUAGUUUCAGACGAGACCGCAGAGACAUACGUGUGGUUGCUGCAGACUUUUUUGAGGUCCAUGCGUCAAAAGAUGCCGAAGAGUGUAAUCAUGGACACCGACGCUGCAAUGAUCAAGGCAAUUCGCGAAGUCUUGCCAGACGUGUGGCACCGUAUAUGUACAUGGCAUAUAGAAAAAAAUAUGAAGAUUCACCUCAGUCACAAGUCCUUGAAGGAGUUCCGAACUCUUCUGUACUACAACACGUCCACAGCCACGUUUGAGGAGAGAUGGCAUGCGUUUUCCAAAAGAUGGUAG